rnacentral:rRNA from 1 species
GGAAUUUUCCGCAAUGGGCGAAAGCCUGACGGAGCAAUACCGCGUGAGGGAGGAAGGUCUUUGGAUUGUAAACCUCUUUUCUCAGGGAAGAAUAAAUGACGGUACCUGAGGAAUAAGCACCGGCUAACUCCGUGCCAGCAGCCGCGGUAAUACGGAGGGUGCAAGCGUUAUCCGGAAUUAUUGGGCGUAAAGAGUCCGUAGGUGGUUCAGCAAGUCUGCUGUCAAAGCCCGCAGCUUAACUGCGGAGAGGCGGUGGAAACUGUUGAACUAGAGUACGGUAGGGGUAGAGGGAAUUCCCAGUGUAGCGGUGAAAUGCGUAGAUAUUGGGAAGAACACCGGUGGCGAAAGCGCUCUACUGGACCGUAACUGACACUGAGGGACGAAAGCCAAGGUAGCGAAAGGGAUUAGAUACCCCUGUAGUC